rnacentral:lncRNA from 1 species
AUGCCCCCUUCCUCAUUAAAGAGACAAAUAUAGCUUGGUGUGGUCCGGAGAGGCGAUGCAGGGAAAGUGGAUGCUGCAGGGUUAUGUGGCAGAAAUUAAACAACGAUGAAUGACGCUGCUUUGAGGAGGACACACACACACACACACACACACACACACACACACACACACACAUUCACACAUUCUCUACCGUCUGAGGUGUGAGGUGGGAAAACAGACCAAUAUGAUGGGAAAAAACUUUGAAAUCUGUUUUCAGGAAGUUGUAGUGAACGUUUUUUACAGCAGAGCUUCAGUGAAUUACCCCUGACCUACAAGCUUCCACAUGUUUUUGGUGUUUAUGUCAGAUUAUUGGCUUGUGACGUCUCCUAAUUGUUUCUACCAUUUAGAGUCACCGAUCCGAGGCUCCGACAGACGCCAUGUCGGCAGCAUCACAGUGCAGCUGACAACAGGCUAGCUGGUAGCCAUGCUAACUUAACAUUGAGGGUCGGGGGGCUGUCAAUGGGUGAACGAGGGGUGCAGCCUGAGCAGGUCACUGGUCUUUCCCAGGGUCCCAAGGAGACACAGAGGACAGGCCUGUGCAGCCGGCCUCAGAGCUGCUCAGCGUCCCUGCAGACUGGCUGUCCCCUGCCGGCUCGGCCCUGCAGGAGGUCAGCAGACCUCAGCAGAGAUCACAGCCUCUCAGUGUUUACGUCCAGCAGGGACCGUUUGAUUCUCCUCGUCCCCUCGAACGUCCAGCUGAGCUCCUAGAGGGAACACACAGCGAGAGCCGGAGGGGAGGAGGCAGCUGACGCAGACCCAGACCUGCAGCAGGCCGAGGCCGGACCCGCCUGUGGACGUCAGGUCCUAACGAUGGCUCAGAGGUGUCCGUCCUCUCUGUCCUGGUGGUCCACACACUUUGCUACAUUCUUGUUCUGUACAAAUGGUGAAGGAUCUGCCAAAGAGCAACGCCUCUGCAGGACCAUUUGAUGGGCUGAGCGUCGACAGUUGGAUGAAACAUUCCUGCCGUGGUUAGAAAAACCUCAACGUGUUUGAAUUGUUUGCUGGAAUCUGUAAAGGAAACAAAAACAAAACCCUAAAACACACACACACACACACACACACUGCAUCCUGUCUGCAGUCAGAGAGCAGUCAGAGUGUGUGUGUGCAGAAUCACUCAGGUAUUCAGACAGAAAUCAGCUGCAGAAAGCUGCAGGUCAGACAGAUGCUCUCUGAGUGUUGGUCAUGUGACUGCUGCUCACAUGUGUCUCCAUCAUGGCUUCCUGCUGGCUGCUGAGGAGGACAGGACUUUUACAUUUUACUGAGUCUUGUUGGAGUGAACUCUUUAUUUGAUAUGGUGC